rnacentral:rRNA from 1 species
UCUUGCGCAAUGGGCGAAAGCCUGACGCAGCGACGCCGCGUGGGGGAAGAAGGCCUUCGGGUUGUAAACCUCUUUCAACAGGGACGAAGCCACUCGGGUUAAUAGCCCAGAGGGUGACGGUACCUGUAGAAGAAGCCCCGGCUAACUACGUGCCAGCAGCCGCGGUAAUACGUAGGGUGCGAGCGUUGUCCGGAAUUAUUGGGCGUAAAGAGCUCGUAGGCGGUGUGUCGCGUCGGCCGUGAAAACUUGGGGCUUAACUCUGAGCUUGCGGUCGAUACGGGCAUCACUUGAGUUCGGCAGGGGAGACUGGAAUUCCUGGUGUAGCGGUGAAAUGCGCAGAUAUCAGGAGGAACACCGGUGGCGAAGGCGGGUCUCUGGGCCGAUACUGACGCUGAGGAGCGAAAGCGUGGGGAGCGAAC